GUUCUGUGCUAUUACCCCUAUUAUUGCUCAUCAUCCUCUUCUCUUCAUUUUCAUUCCCACCUUUUCAGCAGCUAUUAUUGUAUUAUUAUUUUAUCCCAUUUCCCAUAUCUUUCAUUGGAGAAUCCAUGUACGGACGAUGAUAGGGGAGGUUCUUGUAGUUGUAUAGGACUAAUAAAUAAUGUGGGCUCAACUGGUUAGCCAUGGCUGAUACAGGAAAGGAUUGAUGGGUUGCUGUAAAUAUGAAAUACAUGAACCAAGGAGGACCCACCUGCCGUUUCAGAAGUUGGCAGAGAAAAUCUUAGGGACAAAGUGAUCUUUUCCAGGGAGGACAUAUUGACUGAUUUGUAAUGCGAGUUGAGGCUCUUAUCUAUAUUCUAUAGCAUGUUGUUUUGAAUUUAUACGAGUUACACAAUUCA
rnacentral:misc_RNA from 1 species